rnacentral:rRNA from 1 species
UACGUAGGGCGCAAGCGUUGUCCGGAAUUAUUGGGCGUAAAGAGCUUGUAGGCGGUCUGUCGCGUCUGCUGUGAAAAUCCGGGGCUCAACCCCGGACUUGCAGUGGGUACGGGCAGACUAGAGUGUGGUAGGGGAGACUGGAAUUCCUGGUGUAGCGGUGAAAUGCGCAGAUAUCAGGAGGAACACCGGUGGCGAAGGCGGGUCUCUGGGCAACAACUGACGCUGAGGAGCGAAAGCGUGGGGAGCGAACAGG